CUUGACAUCCAGAGAACUUGGCAGAGAUGCCUUGGUGCCUUCGGGACCUCUGAGACAGGUGCUGCAUGGCUGUCGUCAGCUCGUGUUGUGAAAUGUUGGGUUAAGUCCGCAACGAGCGCAACCCCUAUCCUUUGUUGCCAGCGAUUCGGUCGGGAACUCAAAGGAGACUGCCGGUGAUAAACCGGAGGAAGGUGGGGAUGACGUCAAGUCAUCAUGGCCCUUACGAGUAGGGCUACACACGUGCUACAAUGGCGCAUACAAAGAGAAGCGACCUCGCGAGAGCAAGCGGACCUCAUAAAGUGCGUCGUAGUCCGGAUCGGAGUCUACAACUCGACUCCGUGAAGUCGGAAUCGCUAGUAAUCGUAGAUCAGAAUGCUACGGUGAAUACGUUCCCGGGCCUUGUACACACCGCCCGUCACACCAUGGGAGUGGGUUGCAAAAGAAGUAGAUAGCUUAACCUUCGGGAGGGCGUUUACCACUUUGUGAUUCAUGACUGGGGUGAAGUCGUAACAAGGUAGGCGUAGCGAG
rnacentral:rRNA from 1 species